CAAAUCCAUUUCUCACUCCCACCCUACCCGAUCCACACUUUCCCUUCUCCCUCUCUCUCUCUCCCGCAUGCUCUCUGCUAGACCCGAACGGCUGCCCUCCGAUGGUCGCCGCCGUGUAGACACCGGAUCAGGAGUACCAGACACCGCCGAAACUCCAGCCUCGCGAGCCCUUCGUUGCCGUUCUCCGCCGCGAGCAGAAGCCUCCAGGCUCGUACGUCACUGCCGUGGCUUCAAGGCCAAUUUCUGGCCUCCUCUAACAUCGUCUCAGGCGAAGGGUAGCAUGGGUGAACUCAGUGUAUCAAGACGAACAAAGCCCAGGCAAGGAUCGGGCUUUUAAGUGACCGAAGGAGACGGAAUCAGCUCUCCAUUUGCUGCUCGUAGUCUUCUUCUUAAGACCAGGUUCUAAAUGUCAUGUUCAUCCACAUGAGAGGGGUAUAGUUGAUUUCCACCCUAUAUAUUUCCAUUCAAAUGAGGCCAGUGGAGCUAUGAAACCAAUUACUUAUGGUUCCAUAUAAUUAACGACAGUUGACCAAUCUAGAUUUAGAAGGACUCGAGUUACUAAGGAUGGUAAGUUCACGGCAGAAGGUAACAAGUAGCACCUCAGGGAUGCGUGAGACUGUUGAAACAAGUUUGUUUUUACAACAUAGGGCAAAGGAAGUAGUACCAAUUCUUACUUUGAAAAGACUAUUGGUAACGAGGUUAAGUACAAGGACAAGAAGAAAUAUAUGUUGUUAGACAAUGAAUUUUGUGUUUUAUUUUAUUUGUAAUUUUUAUUAGAAUAAAUUUUUUUUUUUUUAGUGGUUAAUUAUUUAUUUUGUAAGUCUAGUUAUAUAUUUUUGAAGGUAAGGAUUAUUAUGUAUAUAAAUAUGACUGAUUUUUAAGUUAAGUAGUAGUGUUAUAUUUGUCCAAAAUUUGUUUUAUUAGAUAAAUAUUUUGUAUAAGUUUUGUUAUUUUAAUCUAAAAUUUUUAGAUUUGUAUAUAAA